rnacentral:rRNA from 1 species
UACGGAGGGUGCAAGCGUUGUCCGGAAUCAUUGGGCGUAAAGCGUUCGUAGGCGGCAUGACAAGUCUGGUGUUAAAGCCUGGGGCUCAACUCCAGUUCGGCACUGGAUACUGUCAAGCUAGAAUGUGGUAGAGGUAAAGGGAAUUCCUGGUGUAGCGGUGAAAUGCGUAGAUAUCAGGAGGAACACCGGUGGCGUAAGCGCUUUACUGGGCCAUAAUUGACGCUGAGGAACGAAAGCCGGGGGAGCAAAU